GUGCUGAAGCUUGUGGGGAGUGUGAGGUGGCUUUUGUAGUAAUGAGACCUUUCAUCAUCUGCCUGGGAAAUGCAUGAACAUUGCUUUGUUUCUUUGUGUGGCUCUGAGUCUCUUUCAGUUCUUGCUGCAUCUGUUUGAGUUGAACUUCUUCAGCUAUCAAGAGGUCAGGCAGCUGCAGGUGCAAGGUGGCUGAUAAGACAGGUCUCCACAUCUCUGUUUUGUUUCAUGCUAAUGGGUAAACAUCUAUGAAUAUUUGGUGAUGUCCCUUUGAAAAAAAAAAAAAAAAAAAGCUGGAAAAGAUUGCCAAGAAGCUUAGUGAACCAGUCAGGCAUUGCCUUUGCCUUGAAAAGUGACCCUGGUAAAUGGAAAUACCAUCACAUUAACUUUCCUUUUGGGAAUUCUGAUGGAUGUAAGGAUCUAGAAACUUUGCAACAUCAAUUCACCUGAAAAUGCCUUUGGACUUACAGUAGGCCUGGAUUCUUUGGGAUAGUUGGCUGUUUUUAUUAUAGAGUGUAAAGUCAAAAGAGAAAAUAAAGGACAUGAAAGGGCCUUCUGGAGUUCAUAUAAUCUGUGUGAACUCAGUGUGUUUGGUGUUCCUUUAUCUUUUUUCCUUAAAGACCUUAUAGCCUCCCUUCCAAACGAGUUCCCGAAGCACUGAGAUUACUAGUUCACCCUCAGGUCUUAAAUCAAUGAGACUCUUGCCUCCAGUUCUUUUGGUGAAGGACACAAAGCAAGAAUAUGUCUACAGCAGUAACUUAAUCUAAUAAAGAAAAGGAAAGCCUCACGGGUAGAGAAAGCAACAGCUACGUAUCACGGGAUAGUAUCCUGCCUUAGGAUCACUUGCAAAAAUACUGUCUUCAGAAUGUGCUGCUAUCAAAGAUUUCACUUGCUCAUAAGAUCGUUGUAUGCCUGAACUGACAGUAAUCGAAGGAGCUGUUCUCAUGGCUGCGUUUUUGAAGUGCAGAGCCAGGAUCUAUAUAACUGACCUCAGUGGAGCUGUAUACAGCCUAAGAGAGACAGAAUGCAUCCUUUGGGAAUAAUACAAAAUAGGGGUACAAGAAACUUGCGAGGAUGUUAGGAUAUGCUUUUCUCUACUGGAUGCAUUCUUCAAUAUUGGAUGCAAUCUUUGGACAACAUGAAGUGGAAUUUCCUGAUUUCUUUGAGGACAGUUUUUUUGUUUGUUUGUUUCAUUUUUUUCCUCUGUGCUAUGGAUUACUCAUUUUCUCUGUGCAGGGUUUUCUCUGCCUGUAAGGCUGUAGCAUGUGUAAUAUGAACAAGGGCACAUUUUAUUUAGUAUUACAGUAUUGGAGGAUGUCAAAGCAGUUAAAGUGCUAAUGUGCUUUGCACAUUAUUAUUUUUUUUUCUUCCCCA
ensembl:lncRNA